rnacentral:lncRNA from 1 species
GGAAGCUUUAAUGAACACCACAGAAAUAUUCCUUCACCAGUCGUAUGGCUAUGCACAUGUGAGAGGGACACAGGAGGAGACAGGGAUGCUGACCACAGGCUCCUUGCAGUAGGUGGACUCAGGGGCCAGACUGUAAUGGCAGUGAUGGACAUGGAUUCACAGGGAGAAAGGCAUCCCAGAAGCAGAAGAAUUAGUCAAGCAGAGACACAGAAGCAAGAGUUAGUUGUGUGCAGGGACUGGCAAGCAGGCUGGCUCGGCUGAGAUAAAGGAAAAAAAAAAAAAACAACUCAAAAGAGAUGCGGUAUAAAAGAGGAUUUGAAUGGAGACCUUGAAUCCUAGGCUGACAAGUCUGGACUUGAGUACAAAGAUAUAUUGUAACAUUUUCCUGAGCCACCGUUUGCCUGUAAGUAUGGUAUACUCUAGGAUGCCUGGGCUUAUAUGACUUCUCAGAACCUUAGAGAAGGUUCUGCUUUUUAGGGCUUCUGGUUCCUAUAUGACUC